GGGGUGCAGCAGGCGCGAAACCUCUGCAAUAGGCGAAAGCCUGACAGGGUUACUCUGAGUGAUGCCCGCUAAGGGUAUCUUUUGGCACCUCUAAAAAUGGUGCAGAAUAAGGGGUGGGCAAGUCUGGUGUCAGCCGCCGCGGUAAUACCAGCACCCCGAGUAGUCGGGACGAUUAUUGGGCCUAAAGCAUCCGUAGCCGGUUCUGCAAGUCCUCCGUUAAAUCCACCUGCUCAACAGAUGGGCUGCGGGGGAUACCGCAGAGCUAGGAGGCGGGAGAGGCAAACGGUACUCAGUGGGUAGGGGUAAAAUCCUUUGAUCUACUGAAGACCACCAGUGGCGAAGGCGGUUUGCCAGAACGCGCUCGACGGUGAGGGAUGAAAGCUGGGGGAGCAAACCGGAUUAGAUACCCGGGUAGUCCCAGCUGUAAACGAUGCAGACUCGGUGAUGGGCCGGCUUUAUGCCAGCUCAGUGCCGCAGGGAAGCCGUUAAGUCUGCCGCCUGGGGAGUACGGUCGCAAGACUGAAACUUAAAGGAAUUGGCGGGGGAGCAC
rnacentral:rRNA from 1 species